GACGAACCGUGCGACCGUUAUUCGGAAUCACUGGGCUUAAAGCGCGUGUAGGCGGGCCGCCCCGUCGGCUGCUGAAAUCCCCCGGCUCAACCGGGGAACGGGCACCGAUACGAGCGGCCUGGAGGGGGGUAGGGGGGUCUGGAACUUCCGGUGGAGCGGUGAAAUGCGUUGAGAUCGGAAGGAACGCCCGUGGCGAAAGCGAGGCCCUGGACCCUUACUGACGCUGAGACGCGAAAGCCAGGGGAGCGAACGGG
rnacentral:rRNA from 1 species